rnacentral:rRNA from 1 species
UACGGAGGGUGCGAGCGUUGUCCGGAAUCACUGGGCGUAAAGGGCGCGUAGGCGGCGCGGAUAGUCGGCGGUGAAAGCCCGGAGCUCAACUCCGGGUCGGCCGUCGAUACUUCCGGGCUUGAGCACUGUAGAGGCAGAUGGAAUUCCGGGUGUAGCGGUGGAAUGCGUAGAGAUCCGGAAGAACACCGGUGGCGAAGGCGGUCUGCUGGGCGAGUUGCUGACGC